rnacentral:tRNA from 1 species
AAGGGAGACCUAAUUCAGGUAGGAGACGAAAAAAUAGUAGUCGCUACCAAGAAUCAAUCCCAAAAGGUCGAAACGAGGCAUGAGGCUUUCAAACUAGGUUCUGGGUUCACACAAGACCUGAAUCAGGAACAAGGGCUAUUAGCUCAGGUGGUUAGAGCGCACCCCUGAUAAGGGUGAGGUCCCUGGUUCGAGUCCAGGAUGGCCCACCUGCACAGGUGGCAAAAACAAGAGAAGCGAGGAAUCAGCACCUUAUCUUAUUUAUAUAUAAGAGAGAAUGCUGGCUCUGAGUACAGAGUCCAGAGGAACCUUGAAAACUGCAUAGAGCUAGGUGAAAAAGCCAAAAAAGAAGACCGCAAGGUCAAGCUAAUAAGGGCUAACGGUGGAUACCUAGGCAC